GACGAACGCUGGCGGCGUGCUUCAUACAUGCAAGUCGAACGAGAAUCUGACUUCGGUCAGAGGAAAGUGGCGGACGGGUGAGUAAUAUGUAGGAAAUCUGCCUUUAGGAGGGGGACAACAGAGGGAAACUUCUGCUAAUACCCCAUAUGAGCUAAGUUGAAAUACUUAUCUUGAAAACUCCGGUGCCUAAAGAUGAGCCUGCAUCUGAUUAGCUUGUUGGUGGUGUAAUGGACUACCAAGGCGACGAUCAGUAGCUGGUUUGAGAGGAUGAUCAGCCACAACGGGACUGAGACACGGCCCAUACUCCUACGGGAGGCAGCAGUAGGGAAUUUUACGCAAUGGGCGAAAGACCUGACGCAGCAACGCCGCGUGAACGAUUAAGA
rnacentral:rRNA from 1 species